rnacentral:misc_RNA from 1 species
UCCGGCUUAUCACCGGCAGUUUCCUCAGAGUUCUCAGCAUUACCUGUUAGCAACAGAGGACGAGGGUUGCGCUCGUUGCGGGACUUAACCCAACAUCUCACGACACGAGCUGACGACAGCCAUGCAGCACCUGUGCUCUCUCCGGCCGAACCGAAGGGGUGUGUUUCCACUCCCCGCGAGAGGCAUGUCAAGGCCUGGUAAGGUUCUUCGCGUUGCCUCGAAUUAAACCACAUGUUCCACCGCUUGUGCGGGUCCCCGUCAAUUCCUUUGAGUUUUAAUCUUGCGACCGUACUCCCCAGGCGGGAUGCUUAACGCGUUAGCUACGCCACCGAGGGGGAACCCCCCGACGGCUAGCAUCCAUCGUUUACAGCGUGGACUAC